AAGCCCCGGGCCACUGAACUUCAUGCUCUUCUGGCCUUGUUUGACUUGGAAAGACUAAGCAUUACAGCAACUCACAGAUCGGGCAACCAGCUGGAGCUCAUUUUUACAUGCCAGCGUGUAUGACACCGCCCAGCCCCUGGCUCUCUAAUGUCCUUCGUGAACAUUGGACUGACAUCAAGGCGGCUGAGAGGAGAUGGCAGAAAUCUAAACAUCCAGCAGAUCUGGAACAAGCUGCUGGAUGACAAUCAGUCAGGCUUCAAAAGUUGACAUUCCACUGAGACUGCCCUGCUUUCUGUCACUGAGUCACUGAGACAGGCAAAAGCUGGAUCCAGAUAAU